AGAACUUUAAAAACUAGACCACAUUUUCCAGUCUCCUCUGAAGUCAGAUGAAACCAUAUGACUAAGUUACAGCCAGUGAAAGGUUAUUCCUUGAAAUACAUCUGGAUUGUUUAGGGAUUGAUGGAAACCUAUACCCAACUUCAUUCCCUCAUCCUUCUCCUGAGGGAACAGGUUGCUGCAGUCAAUGGACAAUAGCCUCGUGCUUCAAGGAAAUCUUGAGGAGAGAUGUUUCACCUGCAGGCAGCAAACAUGACUACAGACAGAUACUCUUAUUUACCACAAAGUAGUGGAUUCUGGAAGAACUUGGCUCAGAAAUGUAUCUGUACCCCAGAGGAGAGAUCAAGAGUAGAGUCUUGUAAAUGUGUGGUUCUUCCUCUAAGAGGCAGAGGGAGCUGAAUAGGCAGGCUGUGGCUUUCCCACGCCUGAGCUAGGAGCCAUACAUGGAGACUAGGGAGCAAGAGGCUUCCUCCAGGAGCAUCGUUAGGGGACUUGCAGCCUGUUUGCUUCUUUACCACUGACCAGGUAGGUAGAAACUAUGUCAUCUUUCCCUGCUUACUGAACUCCUGCUCUUAGGGCACUGGAUCUGAGUCCAAAGCAACCGACAAAUAAAAAAGGGGAACCUACUUAAGAGGAAGAUCCGUCAGAACAAGAGGAUCCGUCAGAAGAUCCUUGUGUGCAGGAAAACAGAGCUGCCGGAUGAUAGACAACAACUGAAUGAAGGAGGAGGGGUUGGGGAGGAGAGUGGGGAAGAGAAAGAAGGAGAAGACGAAGGAUGAGCAAGCUUCUAGUGCUCAAGGAAAGCAGUCUCUGAUGCUCACUUCAGAUGGGAUCAAAGAGAAAAUAGGGAAGAGAGCAUUGCAGAGGGAGGAACAAGGGCAGAUAGAGAUUGUUGCUGUGACAUAAUCUAGUACAUACUAACUCGCAUGUUAAACUGAAUUACAACAGUCUGCCCUUGCUGGAAUAGGUGUAGUUGAAAACAGCUGAAAAAUGAGAACUUCACAUGAAAAAAUGACUCUCAAUGUCUGGAAAUUUUUAAAGUCAUAAGUAUGUUGCUAAAUUCUCAGUGAAACCUUAGAAGAAUCAAGAAAAAGCUUGUGUGAGGAUCACAGUUUGUCCUGGGGUCAGAAUGGAAAGCAAAUUCUUAAAUAUCUCUUUGAGACCCUACUUGAAAUGAAUGUACUCAUUCACACAGCCUCAUCUUCUUGUUUGAGGAGCAUCACAGACAGUUUUCUGCAUGCCUUCUGAGUUCCUGCUUAUCCUUUUGGGCCCUUCCUUUUUUUUGGAUGAUGUUUUUCUGAUUAAGAGUUAGGACAAAAGGAAAUCUAUGACAUCCACCCCUUUAUGUCUUUCCAAACUAUCUCUUCCCCCAUGAAAUUUAGCAUAAGCUAUGGAUACAGAAAUAAAGAAACUGUCAUAACACAUAAUGUUGGGAAGAUAAGUGCAUUGUAUCACAGCCACUGGGGUUUAUAUUUUAUUAUUUACUGGAAAAGGGAAAACUCAUGAUAGACAGAUUCUUUUCUCAGGCAAAAGGAAGAUGUGAUGUGUGAGCAUGUUAUAGAGGAGAAUUUUAGGAUGUUCUAAAGUUUUCCUUGCAUUUAUUAAGGGCCUUGACCCACCUGAGCUGAAUAGUUUGCCUCUGAAGGAGCAUCUGUUCUAUAAAUUUUUGUUCUCUCACUCCUCCAGUCAUAGAACCAGAAUACACUGUGGCGUCACCUGGUCAAGGUUAUUUUUCCUUAGCAGUACAUAAGGGGUCCUUUAACUUGGUACUCUACAAGGAAAAUCUUAUUUAAAUAAGGAACUAAACCACCUCUACCGGUGAACUACAGAUAGUUUUCUAACAGUGUGCUAAGAGCCAGCCUAUAGAUGCUAAUAGUUAGCAUAAAUAUUUAUAAAGCAUACAAAAAUAUAUUUUUUAAUUUUAUAUAUAAAUAAAAACCAGGCAAUUAAAGAUAAGAUUUAGGUAUAGCUAUUGAUUGCUCUGAUAUUAGUUCUUCAUCUCCCCACAUCUGUGGAGUACUGAAGAACUUAGCCCAUGAGUUCAUUUUUUUAAUUGAGAUAUAAUGGACAUACAACAUUGUAUUAGCUUUAGGUGUACAACAUAGUGAUAUGAUAUUUAUAUAUAUUAUGAAAUGAUCACGACAAUAAGUCAAGUUAACAUCCAUCACUACACACCCUUAUAAUUUUUCUUCUGAUGUGGAUUUAAGUUCUACUCUCCUAGCAACUUUCAGGUAUACAAUACAGUAUUAAUUACUAGAGUCACCACUCUGUAUGCUACAUUUCCAUGACUUAUUUAUUUUAUAACUGGAAGUUUAUACCUUUUUACUUCAGGGAGCCCAUACAUUUAGAUGGUGAAAAAAAUUACAUCUUCACUUUCAUUAAUCUCUAGUAAAAUUUAGCAUGUCCUUCAAUUAUGUUUGUAGGCAACAAGCUACCACAGUAUUAGGAUAUCUGUGCCUUGUUACUGACAUGUUGAAAAUCACAUAUUUCCAUAUCACAUUAUAGAUGCUACAAAUAUCUCAAAAUACUGUUUACUCUCAUUACUGUUUUAAAACCACGUUAGUAAUUAGAUCCAUCACUAACUCUUGUUACCUUCUACACUAGUAAGAAGCACAUAUAUUACUAUUUUAUAAAAUUUUAAUUUUGGUAACUGUGUUCCUAAAUAAUUGAUUUCGGUUGAAAAUCUCAUGUAUUUUUUUUUUUUUUGGUCUUUUUGCAAUUUCUUGGGCCGCUCCCGCGGCAUAUGGGAGGUUCCCAGGCUAGGGGUCAAAUCGGAGCUGUAACCACCAGCCUAUUCCAGGGCCACAGCAAUGCGGGAUCCAAGCCGCGUCUGCGACCUACACCACAGCUCACGGCAACGCCGGAUCCUUAACCCACUGAGCAAGGGCAGGGAUCGAACCCGCAACCUCAUGGUUCCUAGUCGGAUUCGUUAACCACUGCGCCACGACGGGAACUCCCAAAAAUCUCAUGUAUUUUUGACGCAAUUUAAAAUAUUCUUAGAAGGGGCCCACAGGCUUCACCAGAACGCAAGAUGUGUCCAUUGCACAAAAAAUUUCAGAACCCUGCCAAAAGUGGUGAUGAUUAUCAAAUCAUAUUACUGUCUGUAUUUGGCAAAGUGGGCUGUUUUAUCUACAACACACUUUGUUCUUUCUGCAUCCCAAACAUUUAAUCAACAAACAUUUAUUGACUAUCUCUGUAUGCCUGGCACACUUCUAGAUGCUGGAUAUUCAGAAGUAACAUAAACAAGGUCCUUGCCUUCAAGGAGCAUAAGUUGAGUGGGAAGACACAGGAAAUAGAUCAGUAAAUAAACCCAACAAUUUCAAAUUGAGAAAAGUUCUGUAAAGGAAAUAAAUGGUAUUAAGUAAACAGAGCAGAGUGAGGGGAUCAGGAAGCUCUCUCUGAAAAGCUGUCAUCUGAAGGAUGAGCAUGUACCAAACAUGGGAAGAGGUGGGGGGAAUGUAUUCCAAGCAGAAGGAAAACCAAAUGCAAGCACAUCAAGGCUAUGAAAGUCCUAUGCUGGUUCAUGACAGACGGCCUGUGUCUUGGUCACAAUGCUGAUAAGUCCAGAAAGUUGUUUCUCCCUUGGUUUGCAAAUGCUGAACUCAUUAUGCCUCAGUAUUCAGAGUCUGUCAACUGCCUGUUGCUCUUACUCCUUUUCCCUUGCUCACACACAUCCAAGUAAGGCAGGAACCAUGGGAUUUGUAGCUCAUUGUGCAUCUCCCACAAAUGCCCCUGAAAGGCUGAAGUGGGAAGGAUGAUCAUCUUCCAGCUUAAGUUCUACCAGAAGCUCCCCAAUCCAGCUCCUGUUAUUUUUCUCACUACAAAUAUCCCGGCUCAAGACAGGAAAAGCAGGAGUGUAAAGAAGCACAUGGCUACACUUCCAGGGUAACACCCCACUGCACCCUAUUGGUAAUAACCUCUGGAAACACUUUAGGUCUUCCACUACAAUAGAAUGUCACAGUCUUUAGCUGUGACUAAAGAGAAGAUAUAUCUUCUCUCACUGAAGCAUGUAUGUGAUACAAAAAGACACAUGGUUGUGUCUAACACAGAAAACUAAUAAGUGUUAAUUAGGGAAUUAUUUCAUUUUUAAUGCUACUUUAAAAUUUUCCUAGUAAUGUAUUUUUCCUUUAUAGCUACCAUUAAAGACUAUACUAUGUGUAGUAGU
rnacentral:lncRNA from 1 species